UUUCCAACAGCACCCUUGCAAAAAUCAGUUAUUUAUUUGCACAUCAGUUUGCCAAGCAUUCCUUUAAUAUGAAGCCUGGAUGAUUUCUCUACAGUUGGGGUGAGGAACUUUAGGCCUUCCAGAUAUUAUUAGACUCUCACUCCCAUUAGCCCCAAGCAGUCUGACCAAUGGUCAAGGAUAAUGGAACUUGGAAUCCAGUAAUAUCUGAGGGAACUCAGACCCCUCUCUAUUUUUCAGGCCUAGCUGUAAAUUAAUGAAUCAAUCCACAUAUUAAUGCAACCGGCGUUUGACUUAAGCCAGCUAUCAGUAGCUGGACAGUUGACGGCUUAUGUGUUGGAGACUCAAGUCCAUGAAACUUGCAGGGUUACCUUUGCCAAAUCAGGAUCUCUCACAGCUUUGUUGAAAUAAUAAAUAAUGUAAAGUCGCUGGGUUUGUUCGUUUGUUUGUUUUUAAAAAAGAGAGCCAUAGGCGGCAACCAGCAAGUAACCUAGACAACCAAGACGGUUGUGUCCAGGGGAGAGAAGGAAGAGUGAAUGAAUGUUGGCUGAGGUAAAAGCAAAGAGGCCUUUUAGCUGCACGCUCACUGAGGAGAAUAAGCACAUUUAGAUGUGAGUGAAACAUCGUGUGAUAUUCUCUUGCAUGAGGUGCUGCUGCUGUUGAGGGAGAUAAAGUAAUCAGUAAGGUGUGAUAGAGACACCUGAGGUUUUUGAGAGAGCAGCUGAGGCCCAGUGUGUGGUGCCUCAGAAAACCUGACGUAUCUCAUGUUCCAUUGAGAAGCCCAGUAGAGUGGCCAAAGUCCAGCUGUAGCCAUGGUUUCCUUUGCACUGACUUCUUUCUUCUGAACUGGUCUUGGCUGAGUAAUUAGACAGCACAGCGUAUUGGAUUAGCACACAUCAGUGAUGCAUAUUAAUCACAGAAUGGAGACAGAGCACUACGAGAUGCAACAGA